CCUGGCUUAGAUUGAACGCUGGCGGCAGGCGUUAACACAUGCAAGUCGAGCGGGGAUAGGGUGCUUGCACCUGAUUCCUAGCGGCGGACGGGUGAGUAAUGCUUAGGAAUCUGCCUAUUAGUGGGGGACAACGUUCCGAAAGGGACGCUAAUACCGCAUACGUCCUACGGGAGAAAGCAGGGGAUCUUCGGACCUUGCGCUAAUAGAUGGGCCUAAGUCGGAUUAGCUAGUUGGUGGGGUAAAGGCCUACCAAGGCGACGAUCUGUAGCGGGUCUGAGAGGAUGAUCCGCCACACUGGGACUGAGACACGGCCCAGACUCCUACGGGAGGCAGCAGUGGGGAAUAUUGGACAAUGGGGGCAACCCUGAUCCAGCCAUGCCGCGUGUUGUGAAGAAGGCCUUUUGGUUGUAAAGCACUUUAAGCGAGGAGGAGGCUUACCUGGUUAAUACCCGGGAUAAGUGGACGUUACUCGCAGAAUAAGCACCGGCUAACUCUGUGCCAGCAGCGGC
rnacentral:rRNA from 1 species